rnacentral:rRNA from 1 species
UACGUAGGGAGCAAGCGUUGUUCGGAUUUACUGGGCGUAAAGGGCGCGUAGGCGGCGUGUCAAGUCGAUUGUGAAAUCUCCGGGCUUAACUCGGAACGGCCAAUCGAUACUGACGUGCUAGAGUGCAGAAAGGGCAAUCGGAAUUCUUGGUGUAGCGGUGAAAUGCGUAGAUAUCAAGAGGAACACCUGAGGUGAAGACGGGUUGCUGGGCUGACACUGACGCUGAGGCGCGAAAGCCAGGGGAGCAAACGGG